rnacentral:rRNA from 1 species
UACGGAGGGGGCAAGCGUUAUUCGGAAUUAUUGGGCGUAAAGGGCGCGUAGGCGGCUAGAUGUGUCAAAGGUGAAAUCCCUCGGCUCAACUGAGGAACUGCCUUUGAAACUGUCUGGCUUGAGGCCGGGAGAGGGUAGCGGAAUUCCCAGUGUAGCGGUGAAAUGCGUAGAUAUUGGGAAGAACACCGGUGGCGAAGGCGGCGACCUGGUCCGAUACUGACGCUGAGGCGCGAAAGCGUGGGGAGCAAACAGG